UACGGGGGGGGGUAAGCGUUGUUCGGAAUUACUGGGCGUAAAGGGCUCGUAGGCGGCCAACUAAGUCGGACGUGAAAUCCCUCAGCUUAACUGGGGAACUGCGUCCGAUACUGGAUGGCUUGGAUUUGGGAGAGGGAUGCGGAAUUCCAGGUGUAGCGGUGAAAUGCGUAGAUAUCAGGAGGAACACCUGUGGCGAAGGCGGCCUUCUGGACAGCAACUGACGCUGAGACGCGAAAGCGUGGGGAGCAAACAGG
rnacentral:rRNA from 1 species